GACGAACGCUGGCGGCGUGCUUAACACAUGCAAGUCGAACGGAAAGGCCCUGCUGUUGUGGGGUGCUCGAGGGGCGAACGGGUGAGUAACACGUGAGUAACCUGCCCUUGACUAUGGGAUAACUUCAGGAAACUGGGGCUAAUACCGGAUAGGAGCUCCUGCUGCAUGGCGGGGGUUGGAAAGUUUCGGCGGUUGGGGAUGGACUCGCGGCUUAUGCGCUUGUGGGGGGGGUAGUGGCUGACCAAGGCUUUGACGGGUAGACGGCCUGAGAGGGUGACCGGCCCCGUUGGGACUGGGAUGCGGCCCGGACUCCUACGGGAGGCAGCAGUGGGGAAUAUUGCACAAUGGGCGGAAGCCUGAUGCAGCACCGCCGCGUGCGGGAUGACGGCCUUCGGGUUGUAAACCGCUUUCGCCUGUGACGAAGCGUGAGUGACGGUAAUGGGUAAAGAAGCACCGGCUAACUACGUG
rnacentral:rRNA from 1 species